rnacentral:rRNA from 1 species
CCUACGGGUGGCAGCAGUGGGGAAUAUUGGACAAUGGGGGAAACCCUGAUCCAGCGACGCCGCGUGAGUGAAGAAGUAUUUCGGUACGUAAAGCUCUAUCAGCAGGAAAGAAAAUGACGGUACUUGACUAAGAAGCCCCGGCUAACUACGUGCCAGCAGCCGCGGUAAUACGUAGGGGGCAAGCGUUAUCCGGAUUUACUGGGUGUAAAGGGAGCGUAGACGGCAGCGCAAGUCUGGAGUGAAAUCCCGGGGCUCAACCCCGGAAGUGCUGUGGAUACUGUGAAGCUGGAGUGCAGGAGAGGGAAGCGGAAUUCCUGGUGUAGCGGUGAAAUGCGUAGAUAUCAGGAGGAACACCGGCGGCGAAGGCGGCUUACUGGACUGUAACUGACGUUGAGGCUCGAAGGCGUGGGGAGCAAACAGGAUUAGAUACCCCAGUAGUC